GGAUUCAUAGCUCAAGCAGUAGAGCAUUUGAUUGCGAGAUCAAGAAGUCAUCGAUUUGAACUCGAUUGGGCCCU